rnacentral:rRNA from 1 species
UACGUAGGGUGCGAGCGUUAAUCGGAAUUACUGGGCGUAAAGUGUGCGCAGGCGGCCGCGCAAGUCGAGUGUGAAAGCCCCGAGCUUAACUUGGGAAUUGCGCUCGAAACUACGUGGCUGGAGUGUGGCAGAGGAAGGUGGAAUUCCACGUGUAGCGGUGAAAUGCGUAGAGAUGUGGAGGAACACCAAUGGCGAAGGCAGCUCGCUGGGACGGAACUGACGCUAAGGCGCGAAAGCGUGGGGAGCGAACAGG